UCUCUCUCUCUCUCCCCCCCCCCCUCAAUCUCUCUCUAUAGAAAACACAUUCAAGUUGUUUGUGUUGUUUUUCUCCAUGGAUUCUUAUGAAGCUACCAAGAUUGUUUUCUCAAGGAUCCAAAGCUUGGAUCCAGAAAAUGCCUCAAAAAUCAUGGGGUGCCUUCUGCUGCAAGACCAUGGCGACAAGGAGAUGAUACGCUUGGCAUUUGGACCAGAAACUCUCCUGCACAAUCUCAUCCUCAACGCCAAAACCCAACUCUCCCUUCUUCCCUCCGACAACCCUACUACUACUUAUACCACUACUUCUGCUACUUUCAAUCCCAUCUCUAGGCCUACCCCUUUGUCCCUCUCCUCCUCCUCCUCCUCUUCUUCCUCAAACCUUUGGAGCCUCUCCAAUUCCGUAAGCCCCUCUGCUGCUUCUUCUCCGUCUUAUGCCAGUAUUCUUACCAAAAACACUAACCCUACUUCUCUCUGUGCUUCUAGUAGCGAAGUUGUUGACAAAUACCAGUUUCAGAGCAAUCUUUCUUUUCUCAGUGAUCCAAAAACUGAUGACUUGUUUUAUGGAUCUGAAGAUUUGAAUUCUGGGGGUGGAUGGAAACCAUGUUUGUAUUAUUCAAGAGGGUUCUGUAAAAACGGCAGCACCUGCCGUUUUCUCCACGGCGGCAGCUCAGUUAAUGUUGUUUCUCCAGGCAAUGCCAAUGUGAUUGGACAGUGCCAGGAGAUAAUCAGAUCCAAUGCCGCUGCUCAGCAGCAGAAACUGGCUGCAGUGUCACACUUCAUGGCUGGCCGCGGUGGUGAUGCUUCCUCCUUCCCAUACAACAAGUGCAUGGAUUUUCUUAUGCAACAACAAAAUGACUCUCCAAGGUCAGCAGCAUCUGCAUUGAUGAUGGGUGAUGAAGUUCACAAGUUUGGGAGAUACCAACAUGAUCGAAACGAUUUUUCGACUUUAAAUUUGGGAGGAAAUGUCAAUCACAGUUCAAGGCAGAUCUACUUGACAUUUCCAGCUGAUAGUACAUUUCGAGAAGAAGAUGUCUCUAAUUAUUUUAGCAUUUAUGGACCAGUGCAAGAUGUGAGGAUUCCAUACCAGCAAAAGAGGAUGUUUGGAUUUGUUACAUUCGUCUACUCCGAGACUGUGAAGAUCAUUUUGGCGAAAGGGAAUCCUCAUUUCGUAUGCGAUUCUCGGGUGCUUGUGAAGCCUUACAAGGAGAAAGGCAAAAUCCCAGACAAGAAGCAACAACACCAACAAUUUGAGAGGGAAGACUACCAUCUGUGUAGAAGCCUGUCCGCGAUCGAUUCAAGAGAGCAUUAUGAUCUCAAUCCUGGAUCAAGAACGUUUUACAAUACACAAGACAUGCUUUUGAGAAGGAAAUUAGAGGACCAGGCUAAGUUGCAGCAAGCCAUUGAAAUCCAAGAAAGGAGACUUAUGAACCUCCAACUUCUAGGCAUCAAACCCAACAAUCUUCAUCAUCAGAAUCAGUACUACAAUGGUUUAUCAGAAGGGUCUCCAUUUCCUUCACCCACUUUGUCACAUGCAUCCAAAAAUCAAUCCUUCAAUUUUUCACCUAGAGGCAAUAAUGAAGAAGUCCCACAAGAAUAUGAUGAAGCUGAAAAACUGCAGCAGGAGAUGAAUCCAACUUUUAAUCAUGAAAAUGAAGAUAACAAUGGCGAUGAUUUUAGCCUGCAUGAAAGUAUGGAGCACAUUCUCCCUGAUAACCUAUUUGCAUCUCCAAAGAAAUCAGCUGCUGGAGACCAAAUAAAUGUCUUCUCAACUACUGCUUCUGCACAAGUCAAUACUGAAAGCUUCACCAGAACCACCACCAUUUCUUCUAACAAUAUUAAUGAUAAUUUACUGCCCACCACUUCUACCCCAAAUGCAGAUUCCCCAAAAUCUGUUCUUUCCAAAUGUCCAGGUUUUCUUUUGGAAUGUAAUUAAGAAAGUCAAGCAUGGGCAGCAUUGGGGGAGAAAUGACCUUGCUACUGGUAGGAAACAAUUGAGAAGGAUUACAAAAGGAAGAAAAAGAUCGUCUAGCUAUAUAGCCAAAAGCAUAUACCUAUAUCAAAGCAAACUUGCAGACAAGAUCUCAGCAAGAUCACUAUUGUCAUUAAUAUAUAUAUAUAUAUAUGUAUGUAUGUAUGUAUGUAUGUAUGUAUACUAUUUAGAAUAAUAAUACCUAAUUGUAUACAUAAAAAAACAGAUGGACUGAUUUAUUUUAGUGGGGUCUAUUUCAGUACUCUCUGCCCUAUCUCCAUAGGUAUGUGCUGGCUGGACCACAGCAAGCAAGCUGUAACAAUGUAACAUAUCAACUUUCAUAUGAUAUUUUAAUUUAGGGUUACUUAUCUUUUUAUUUUACCACUUCAGACUUAUAUGUAACCGGUUUAUGGCUAAGUAAAUAAAUAUAAAUUUAUAUUUAA